rnacentral:rRNA from 1 species
AACGAACGCUGGCGGCAGGCCUAACACAUGCAAGUCGAACGCUCCGCAAGGGGAGUGGCAGACGGGUGAGUAACACGUGGGAACCUACCUCGAGGUGCGGAACAACCAAGGGAAACUUUGGCUAAUACCGCAUGUGCCCUUAGGGGGAAAGAUUUAUCGCCUUGGGAUGGGCCCGCGUCGGAUUAGCUAGUUGGUGUGGUAAUGGCGCACCAAGGCGACGAUCCGUAGCUGGUCUGAGAGGAUGAUCAGCCACACUGGGACUGAGACACGGCCCAGAAUCCUACGGGAGGCAGCAGUGGGGAAUAUUGGACAAUGGGCGCAAGCCUGAUCCAGCCAUGCCGCGUGUGUGAUGAAGGCCUUAGGGUUGUAAAGCACUUUCGCCGAUGAAGAUAAUGACUGUAGUCGGAGAAGAAGCCCCGGCUAACUUCGUGCCAGCCGCCGCAGUAAUAC